GACGAACGCUGGCGGCGUGCUUAACACAUGCAAGUCGAGCGGUAAGGCCCUUUCGGGGGUACACGAGCGGCGAACGGGUGAGUAACAUGUGGGUGACCUGCCUUUAGCUCUGGGAUAAGCCUGGGAAACUGGGUCUAAUACCGGAUAUGACUCCGCGGUGCAUGCUGUGGGGUGGAAAGCCUUGUGCGGCUGGAGAUGGGCCCGCGGCCUAUCAGCUUGUUGGUGGGGUGANGGCCUACCAAGGCGACGACGGGUAGCCGGCCUGAGAGGGCGACCGGCCAC
rnacentral:rRNA from 1 species